AACGAACGCUGGCGGCAUGCCUAACACAUGCAAGUCGAACGAGACCUUCGGGUCUAGUGGCGAACGGGUGCGUAACGCGUGGGAACCUGCCCUUAGGUUCGGAAUAACUCCCCGAAAGGGGUGCUAAUACCGGAUAAUGUCUUCGGACCAAAGAUUUAUCGCCUUUGGAUGGGCCCGCGUUGGAUUAGCUAGUUGGUAGGGUAAAAGCCUACCAAGGCGACGAUCCAUAGCUGGUCUGAGAGGAUGAUCAGCCACACUGGGACUGAGACACGGCCCAGACUCCUACGGGAGGCAGCAGUGGGGAAUAUUGGACAAUGGGCGAAAGCCUGAUCCGGCAAUGCCGCGUGAGUGAUGAAGGCCUUAGGGUUGUAAAGCUCUUUUACCCGGGAUGAUAAUGACAGUACCGGGAGAAUAAGCUCCGGCUAACUCCGUG
rnacentral:rRNA from 1 species